rnacentral:rRNA from 1 species
UACGGAGGGGGCGAGCGUUAUUCGGAAUUAUUGGGCGUAAAGGGCGCGUAGGCGGCUUGAUGUGUCAAAGGUGAAAUCCCUCGGCUCAACUGAGGAACUGCCUUUGAAACUGUCUGGCUUGAGGCCGGGAGAGGGUAGCGGAAUUCCCAGUGUAGCGGUGAAAUGCGUAGAUACUGGGAGGAACACCGGUGGCGAAGGCGGCUACCUGGACCGGUUCUGACGCUGAGGCGCGAAAGCCAGGGGAGCAAACGGG